GACGAACGCUGGCGGCGUGCUUAACACAUGCAAGUCGAACGGAAAGGCCCUGCUUUUGUGGGGUGCUCGAGUGGCGAACGGGUGAGUAACACGUGAGUAACCUGCCCUUGACUUUGGGAUAACUUCAGGAAACUGGGGCUAAUACCGGAUAGGAGCUCCUGCUGCAUGGUGGGGGUUGGAAAGUUUCGGCGGUUGGGGAUGGACUCGCGGCUUAUCAGCUUGUUGGUGGGGUAGUGGCUUACCAAGGCUUUGACGGGUAGCCGGCCUGAGAGGGUGACCGGCCACAUUGGGACUGAGAUACGGCCCAGACUCCUACGGGAGGCAGCAGUGGGGAAUAUUGCACAAUGGGCGGAAGCCUGAUGCAGCAACGCCGCGUGCGGGAUGACGGACUUCGGGUUGUAAACCGCUUUCGCCUGUGACGAAGCGUGAGUGACGGUAAUGGGUAAAGAAGCACCGGCUAGCUACGUG
rnacentral:rRNA from 1 species